rnacentral:rRNA from 1 species
AUACGGAGGGGGCUAGCGUUGUUCGGUAUUACUGGGCGUAAAGCGUACGUAGGCGGACUGAUCAGUUGGGGGUGAAAUCCCAGGGCUUAACCCUGGAACUGCCUUCAAUACUGUCAGUCUUGAGAUUGGAAGAGGUGAGUGGAAUUCCUAGUGUAGAGGUGAAAUUCAUAGAUAUUAGGAGGAACACCAGUGGCGAAGGCGGCUCACUGGUCCAAUACUGACGCUGAGGUACGAAAGCGUGGGGAGCAAACAGGAUUAGAAACCCUAGUAGUCC